GACGAACGCUGGCGGCGUGCUUAACACAUGCAAGUCGAACGGAAAGGCCCUGCUUUUGUGGGGUGCUCGAGUGGCGAACGGGUGAGUAACACGUGAGUAACCUGCCCUUGACUUUGGGAUAACUUCAGGAAACUCGGGCUAAUACCGGAUAGGAGCUCCUGCUGCAUGGUGGGGGUUGGAAAGUUUCGGCGGUUGGGGAUGGACUCGCGGCUUCUCAGCUUGUUGGUGGGGUAGUGGCUUACCAAGGCUUUGACGGGUAGCCGGCCUGAGAGGGUGACCGGCCACACUGGGACUGAGAAACGGACCAGACUCCUACGGGAGGCAGCAGUGGGGAAUCUAGCACAAUGAGACGAGGCCUAAUGCAGCAACGCAGCGUGCGGGAUGACGGCCUGCGGGUUGUAAACCGCGUUCGCCUGUAACGAAGAGUGUGUGACGGUAAUGGGUAAAGAAGAAACGGCUAACUACGUG
rnacentral:rRNA from 1 species